GUCGACCAUUUAUUCCCAUCGCCAAUACUACGGUUGUCUAGUCGGAUCGAGUACUAUGCGUCUACCUUCGAACCUAAUCCAUGAAAAAGGUGACAGGGAUGCGCUUACCUGUGAGCGUUUUCUGGAAACCAUGAACCUCUUCUCAGGGACAUUGUAGUAACUUUGUUGAGGAUAAACAAGGCCAUAUUGAGGAGUACCAUCGUAUUGCUGACCAUACUGGUUCUCGUAUUGUUCAUAAUAGCUAGAUGGAUGAGUACGUAUAAUUCCUAUGUCUGACGGUGAUAAAGAGUCCAGACUAUAAUGACGAGGAGGGUACACCGAUGAAUCCACCCAUGGGAUAACUGCGUGCAAUCACAUAUUGUCUUAAUAGAAACGAAAUUCAAUCGAUAACUAAGGUAUUUACACGACCAUUCGCAAUUAUAAACCAUCAUGGAGAGAGCGGUUAUUACCGUUUGCGACGCUCGUUUUCCCAAAGGGACAACAGAGUUAACACAUCCUCCGGAUCGAUAUCCAAUUCCCUCUUGAAUCGUGGUUCUUGAUAAAUUGGAACGCUGAAAGUUUCAAGUUGGACAACUCGUAUCAAUCACGCAAUAACCAUUUCAAUCGCGCGUGUAUAUGCAUCGAGGCGCAAAGUAUAUUUUGAAUGAAAAAGCCAGCGAACAAAAGGACGAUUCUUCAAGCGCCAAUGACGACGAGUGUAAGAGAUCGUACGCGUUUGCGCCGAGUACAGCGAUAGGAUGUUAUCCUAGGUCAGGUCUGGCGAGCAUGCCUUCUGCCACGGUCUGUCGCGGAUGAUCGAUACGACGGCACCCAGCUAAUGCUAUCAGCUGAUUGGUUGGUCAUAUGCCAAAACGGUCUGACUCGUCAGGUGGUUUCAUUCAGUUCUUCAUCUCACGUGUAAUCAGGAGAAAAAGAAAUACAUCGGGAAAUUUUUAAAAUCAACUCUGGAUGAUCUAAGAACGAACGACCUCGUCGAGUUUCAGCUUGAAAAAUGAACACCAUCGCCAAUUAUAAUAAUAAUUUUGUAACGGAGUAGCACGGGUAUAAAUAGCCGAAGGCUAAUUCUUUUAGAGUUCGAGCUUCCCGAUUUGCAUAUCUGUAGGUGAACUUUUGUUCCACUAAUUUCCGUCGGCACGGGCGUGUCGUCGCAUCUCACGGAAGUGUCGUCGCAAACUAGGAAGCUCUAUUCCCGUCAGCUGAUUGGCUGGCGAUAUGUCAAGUAAUAGUCAGGUCUGACCUACUUUUCCUCGCCGCUUCCAUUCAGCUUUUCGCGGACCCACCCCUUGGAAAGCUACCCUAUUGCGUCACAAGUAUCGAACGUCCCGAUGACUGCACCAAACUGUACACGUGUGUGCGCGUCCACCCACGCAUCCAGGAACACGUACACGCCCACGUGAACAGAGUGGUUGGUCUAUCGAAUAAUUGUCCGACACGUGAACGUCUCGUCGAAUUUCGCGAUUUUCCACCCAUUUACCUUCGUUAUUUCGUUCGGUGAUUAUACUAAUUUAAUUAUUUCACCAAGUCCCAUAAAACUUGUUAGCGACGCAAUUUUUCUUCUCCGCUCUUUUUCUUCCCCGUCUAGCUUCGUUAUUACGGUUACGAUUAAUAUUUCUUGAAAAUCGUUAACGGUGAACCCUUCGUAUUUUUCAGCGCCCACGAUUAACGCAGACAAAUUAUCUGUGACUUAAAGGAGACGCUAUUACCAGGUAAUAGAGGUAAAUUUACGGAGGAAGAAGGAUAACAAGAUUUUAUUAUUGAUCAGCAUCCAAAGUAUUUUCCCGUUUAUAAGAAGAAACUUUGUUUCUUCUUAUCGUUGAACACCAAUUACAAUGGAAUUUGCAAUUUAAUGCCACUUAACUGGAACUUCUAUCUAACAGUUUCUAUCAUUAUAGUUUCCCACAAUCGUCUCGGCGAGCCUCCUUCUUUCCAAUACAAAGAGGAAAAAUCGUGCACGAGUGACCUGUGACAUUUAUUUACGGGUCAAGCGUUGCACAUCGGCGCGGCGGCUACGUUUUUCUUUUUCCCCUCGUGUAAAAAUAAAAGUUUGACGUAAGAAACUCAGCCGGCUGACUUUAAAAUAAUUGAUCAUCCUCUGACGUAUCGGUGAACGUCACUCCACGACGUCACUUAAUUAAUGAAGAACCGCUUCGUGUGUACGUUAUAAAUGUCAUCGAUAGCCUUCGCUGGAAAGAUAUCGCGUUUCAGGCUAUAGUUGAAACUUGCACCGUUGUAAUCGUUGUCGUACACAGUACGCAUACUGUCUCGUUUAUGCGCAAUCAGCAAAACGGAAUAGAAUUAACAGCUUGGUAACCGGAAGAAAUUAAUAAGCCUUCGAUCGUUAAUUUUGUAAUCGAGGGGACUUCGGUGGAGAUGAUGAAUUUGAAAGAGGUCUAUAAAUGAUUUGGAUGGGAGCCGAACAUGCUCCGCUGAUCAACUUCGAUAACGACGUCGUAUUGAACCGACUUGGUCGUCAAGUCGACCGCCGUUUCUGCCGAGGGCAACGCCCUCGCCAACCCUCUCAUCCCCAUUCAGAAGAAAUGUCGAAGAAAAAGGGGGAUGUCCCGCACGAGCAAGAGGGCGGGAAAGGCGUGCUCGCAGGGGUGGGAAUUACAGCCGGGUUACAGAGUCGAUUCACCCUGUCGCAGGUUGCCUGUUCCACAGAGUGCAUGCGUUUAUCACUCACCUUCUCUUCGCCUGUGUCUGUGACGCGGACUGCUGAGUGGAUGUCGAGGAUUGGAACGACGAGGUAGACGGUUUCAUGGUGGUUGAUCCGCUCGUUCCAGACUUCUCGGACCUCUUUCGACGAUCCUCGUUCAUGUAGUAACGAGAGUACGCAGGAACAUCCCAUACUUGAGGCAUCUCGUUGCCUAGCUCGUUAACAAGGACCUUACUGUAACUGGUGAAAAGGAAUCACGAUCGUACAUGGCAUUGUUCGGUGUGUUGAAACGAGAAGACUUCUCUUCCUCGACUAGAGCUGCUUUCAGCCCACCUAAUCCUGACGAGGAUAGAGUUCCUGGAACAAAGAAUAAUAAAUUAAAAUAAUUAAAGUAAUGAAACGUGUCGAUCAAAGGAUAGGAUACUUACUCUUUUCUGCGGUAGACGAGUAAGAGGACCCACCUGUGUUACUUUCUGCUUGACGAUUUUGUUGAUUACCAAACAUUAACAUCUCCUGUGCUCGUUUAGCUACAACAGAAAUGAAAUAUUCGUCGGCAAGGAUUGGGUUAUCACGAUGAGAGAGCAUAGAGCCAGUAACCACACCCAAUCGUACAUCAUCUGGAAAAAUUCAUUUUUUCCACGGUUAACUCGAAUCUUCCUUAGGGCAAAGUUUACGUUAGCCAUGAGCGUAGGCAAAUGAAGAUAGCAGGUCGCUAUGAAAGAAGCUUAAAUGUCAUAUAAUGCGAAAUGUCAGGAAUCUAUUUCCAUUGCGUGUAAAAAAUUAAUGGGUAUAUCGCGUAGAAAGUCCCAUUCGAUGCUCGUUCAGAAUUAAUAAACGUGGCAUUAGGAUUGUUUCAUAGAAGAGAAACGCGAGGCACUUUGUAGACUUAACAGGUCUUUAUCUCUCGAAACUUGGCCAAUUAAAUCGAUCGAAGGAUUUGAAAUAUUUUGGAGAAUAGAACCGAUUGCACUUGGGAAAAUUAACAGAAGGAUUGAAAAAGAAUUUCAGUCACCUUUCUUAGCCUUGACUGUUCUCUACAGGUCAGACUUCUGAUACGCAGAAACAGCGAAGGAGGAUCGAAUGUAGUACCUAUGGGGAAGUGGAGGAAAAGUUCUUGGAAGAUAUCCUUUAGCGAGCUGUUUACCUGAGAUAUAACGCAUCUCGUCGCACCAAGUAUCUCGGUAAUUGAUCUAUUUUCGAAGAAUCGGCCACACGCUUGCGCGAAUUCAAGGAGUUGCAGAAAAACAAGCGCGGACUCGCCCUGCCGCGUUUUCCACGGAUCUAUGUAGGAAUCAGGAUUAUGACAAUUAGGAAGAUAAAGAGUUAACGCCACACCCUCUUCUAAGAGAUGCUCUUUCUUCAAACUUGAAAGCUGAUGCGUCCUCAUUUUUCUUUCGACGAAAAGUUGAUUUUCACGAAUCUGGUAAAAAGGUUGAUUAUCCCACGGAGGACACGGGAGGACCUCGUCGCCGCUGUAAUUACGGCGUUGGUUCUAUAAAGUAAUAUAAUUGAACGUGCUCGACCCGAAGGUUGGUUCCCAUUGACGUCAACCGUUGAUUCUGGGAACGACGAAUCCCCGUGCUUCCAGGAUUUAGUGGAGGGAUGUACUGAAGAAAUCACUGGUGGGAGGGGAACGUGGAUGUAUGGAAGUACUUAUCCAGGGACGUUGUACGAUCAGGACCAAAAUAAUAUUCUGAAGGGUUGAUAAGAUAUUGAACCGAUAAGAUAACAUUUAUCCCGUGAAAGGUUUCUGCAUAAUGGUCUUUUUACAUUAAUAUUAAUAACUAAUUAAUAACCAUAAGUUAUUUAAAUCUAUACAUUUUCAGGACUUAAGAAUUUGAGAGUUUUUCUCAAAACUUUUAGCCAUGACCCUCUCUCUUAUUAAUCUUAAUAAUUCAUAUAAUUUUAAAGCAAGAUAUUUAUGAAGGGAGCUAUUAAAAUGAAAAAUUGUUAUAAUAAUCCAACAGAAAAGCAUUUUUUAUCACAAUAUUUUAAUAAUGAUGUAUGAUUUGCAGGUUCAGUAGUAUAAACCAGUAAUAGAACAGACAUUUCUAGUCGCUGAUACUACAUUAAAAUUGAAACUGUAACCAGCCAAGAGUAGGGAGUAUCCCGAAGGAAUAGAUCGAUGUUUCACUCUGUGUAGUAAGGGACGCCUGUUGCUGUAAAACAGGAAUAACUUCAUUCAUGAAAUGGCAAAAUGUGAAUACGACGUCUCAUCUUAUAGUUCGAUAAUUGUACAUUAUAAAAUCAUAGUUUCAAAGGAGUGAUGAUUCAGAUGUUACAAAAUGAACUAGAAUUAGUCAAUUUCUAAUUAUUACUUUAUAAUAACUUUUUUUUUGCAUCUGAUCUAUUAAAAGCAA